AGGCAGCAGGCACGCAAAUUACCCACUCCCGGCACGGGGAGGUAGUGACAAAAAAUAACGAUACGGGACUCUAUUGAGGCCCCGUAAUCGGAAUGAGUACACUUUAAAUCCUUUAACAAGGAUCCAUUGGAGGGCAAGUCUGGUGCCAGCAGCCGCGGUAAUUCCAGCUCCAAUAGCGUAUAUUAAAGUUGUUGCGGUUAAAAAGCUCGUAGUUGGUUCUGCGUGCCGCGCUGUCGGUUCGCCGCCUGUCGGUGUAACUGGCAUGUCGCGGCAUGUCCUGUCGGUGGUGAACGGGGUCCCCGGUGCUGCUGACGGCUUUUAGCCAAAGUUAGUGCCGUGUGUGUUCUCGUUUGCCGAUCUCUCCUACUCCGGUGCUCUUAAACGAGUGUCGAGGUAGGCCGACACGUUCACUUUGAACAAAUUAGAGUGCUUAAAGCAGGCUGAAAUAUCUGCCUGAAUAGUGGUGCAUGGAAUGAUAAAAUAGGACCUCGGUUCUAUUUUGUUGGUUUUAGGAAUAUGAGGUAAUGAUCAAUGUGGACAGGCGGGGGCAUUCGUA
rnacentral:rRNA from 1 species